rnacentral:rRNA from 1 species
GAGUUUGAUCCUGGCUCAGGACGAACGCUGGCGGCGCGCCUAACACAUGCAAGUCGAACGAGCGAGAGAGAGCUUGCUUUCUCGAGCGAGUGGCGAACGGGUGAGUAACGCGUGAGGAACCUGCCUCAAAGAGGGGGACAACAGUUGGAAACGACUGCUAAUACCGCAUAAGCCCACAGCUCGGCAUCGAGCGGAGGGAAAAGGAGCAAUCCGCUUUGAGAUGGCCUCGCGUCCGAUUAGCUAGUUGGUGAGGUAAUGGCCCACCAAGGCGACGAUCGGUAGCCGGACUGAGAGGUUGAACGGCCACAUUGGGACUGAGACACGGCCCAGACUCCUACGGGAGGCAGCAGUGGGGAAUAUUGCACAAUGGGGGAAACCCUGAUGCAGCGACGCCGCGUGGAGGAAGAAGGUCUUCGGAUUGUAAACUCCUGUUGUUGAGGAAGAUAAUGACGGUACUCAACAAGGAAGUGAUGGCUAACUACGUGCCAGCAGCCGCGGUAAAACGUAGGUCACAAGCGUUGUCCGGAAUUACUGGGUGUAAAGGGAGCGCAGGCGGGAAGACAAGUUGGAAGUGAAAUCUAUGGGCUCAACCCAUAAACUGCUUUCAAAACUGUUUUUCUUGAGUAGUGCAGAGGUAGGCGGAAUUCCCGGUGUAGCGGUGGAAUGCGUAGAUAUCGGGAGGAACACCAGUGGCGAAGGCGGGCUACUGGGCACCAACUGACGCUGAGGCUCGAAAGUGUUGGGUAGCAAACAGGAUUAGAUACCAUGGUAGUCCACACCGUAAACGAUGAUUACUAGGUGGUGGAGGAUUGACCCCUUCAGUGCCGCAGUUAACGCAAUAAGUAAUCCACCUGGGGAGUACGACCGCAAGGUUGAAACUCAAAGGAAUUGACGGGGGCCCGCACAAGCAGUGGAGUAUGUGGUUUAAUUCGACGCAACGCGAAGAACCUUACCAAGUCUUGACAUCCCUUGACGAACAUAGAAAUAUGUUUUCUCUUCGGAGCAAGGAGACAGGUGGUGCAUGGUUGUCGUCAGCUCGUGUCGUGAGAUGUUGGGUUAAGUCCCGCAACGAGCGCAACCCUUACUGUCAGUUACUACGCAAGAGGACUCUGGCAGGACUGCCGUUGACAAAACGGAGGAAGGUGGGGAUGACGUCAAAUCAUCAUGCCCUUUAUGACUUGGGCUACACACGUACUACAAUGGCGUUAAACAAAGAGAAGCAAGACCGCGAGGUGGAGCAAAACUCAGAAACAACGUCCCAGUCCGGACUGCAGGCUGCAACUCGCCUGCACGAAGUCGGAAUUGCUAGUAAUCGUGGAUCAGCAUGCCACGGUGAAUACGUUCCCGGGCCUUGUACACACCGCCCGUC